rnacentral:piRNA from 1 species
UAUUGUUUUUAGAAUUUUAGU